GGUAAAAUAAAAUAAAUUGAGCGGUAGCCCUGAUUCUCAUGGACAAAAGAGAAUGUAUUUUCUGCUUGUGUAAGUCAGAUGUGAAAUCUGACACCACUUGAAGCUGGGAUGUCCCUCCUACCAUUUACUUCGCUCUUCCGACUGUCCAUCAACUCCUGGCUGAACCCUAUGUCACACCCACUAACAACGCAAAUGCCUGGAAUACUACAACUCAGCAAUUUAUUUUAAAAAAUACCAGAACGCCCACACCCUCCAUCCCCUCUCCUCCUGCCUCCCGCUUCCCUCCCUUCCUCCCUCUUCCAUCCUUCAGCCUCCCUGUGGCGGCUGCAGAAAGAGACGCCUGUUCAGGAGCACCUGGAUUUAUGUAGGGGAACCAGACGCAGCAGGUGUUGUAAACCCAAGGCCCAGUGGGUUGGCAGUCAGUAGAAUGGAGCAGCUUCAGGCGGGGCUCCAAUAGGAAACAGAUGAGCUACUUAGUCCGAGGUGGCCCUCCUUUGCCCUUCCUGUCGUCAAGGCAACACAUCUGACAUACAUUUUCACAUAAUUUGGAGUAAAGUCUCCUUUUUAGAGCUGAUCGUUGUAAAGUAACAACACACUCUGGAGAGGAAGUCUAUUCAAGUUGAAAAUAACAUGUUAGGAUUACGUUCUUCAACCUAGAUAUACUGUUCAGUAGCUCUGAGAUGUGAAAGUGGUGGAUAAUUCCCACCUUUUUACCUGGAUCAAUACUUAAUCUCAGGGAAAUAAAGCCUUAACCAUCUAUGUUGUAUCACUGACCAGAUAAAAGAUGAAACCCUAGUAUAAGGGGGUAAUAGGCCUACAUGCUUAUGACAAGCCUUACAAUGCAUUAUAACUGCAUCAUAAUGCAUCAUAAUGCAUUAUAAUGCAUCCUAAUGCAUUAUAACUGCAUCAUAAUGCAUCAUACCUGCAAGCUUUAGGUAAAGUGUUACAGAUAAAUUCAAUGUUUCUUAUUCUACUCUAGUUUAAACUGAUCCUUUCCAAAAUUGCAUGAUAUAUUGUACCUUUCCCAUAUGGCGUCUGCCUUUUUUACAACAACUCACUAAAACAAACCAGGUGGAGGCAUGCCAUAGAGGAGAGGUCAGUAGUGGAAACACAUGAUGCUGUCUCUCCUCUCUUUGCUCUUAUCAUGUCUAGUAGUUGGUCAAAUGCUACGUGGUAAAACUGACCAUUAAACCUUGCCGUAUCAAUAUUGUAACUUGUACAGUUGAAGUCGGAAGUUUACAUACACCUUAGCCAAAUACAUUUAAACUCAGCUUUUCAC